rnacentral:rRNA from 1 species
UAAGGAAUAUUGGUCAAUGGAGGCAACUCUGAACCAGCCAUGCCGCGUGCAGGAAGACGGCCCUCUGGGUUGUAAACUGCUUUUAUUCGGGAAUAAACCUACUUACGUGUAAGUAGCGGAAUGUACCGAAGGAAUAAGGAUCGGCUAACUCCGUGCCAGCAGCCGCGGUAAUACGGAGGAUCCAAGCGUUAUCCGGAUUUAUUGGGUUUAAAGGGUGCGUAGGCGGCCUAUUAAGUCAGGUGUGAAAGACGGUAGCUCAACCAUCGCAGUGCCCUUAAUACUGAUGAGCUUGAAUGGACUAGAGGUAGGUGGAAUGUGCCAAGUAGCGGUGAAAUGCAUAGAUAUGUCACAGAACACCGAUUGCGAAGGCGGCUUACUAUGGUCUUAUUGACGCUGAGGCACGAAAGCGUGGGGAUCAAACA